UUAGCCAACUGAAAAAUCAUCAUAGUUAUAAUACUUAUAAUGCCGAUAUUAUUUUAGUAUAGAAAUAUUAGGCACGUAUAUUACAAAAAAGGCAGAACAAGAGAUAUAGCCUAUUUAAAUGCUCAAAAAAAGUUACGAUGGUGCCCCCCCCAAAAAAAACAAAAACAAAUACACACUCAACUUCCCAAGCUCGCUGUGGGUGCCCUUCCCUAUCUCAGUGGCCUGACGAACUUUGACAGCAGGCUAGGUCAACUUUUCUAAAAUUGGCUUAAAAAGAUAACAGGAGUCAGGGGAAGAAAGAAAGAGACUGCGAGAUGGUGCCCGUGCAUCACUUUCAGAUGAUCCUACCACCAUCACUAGCACUGUGUCCCUUGGAAAUGAUGAUGCCAUACCCCUAGGUGUCAACUGUGGUCUGGUGGAGGAGAACCCAUAAGGGGCCCAGGAAAACAGCUGGCAGCCAGGCAAGUGCAAAUAUAAGACACUCAAAAAAAAAUACUCAAACCAUUGCCAACUCAUUGUAAGGCAUACCUAAGUUGUUCUGAUCGUGGGGGGAAACAUAUUUGUCAAAACAACAAAUGUUGUCAUACUAAUGCUUUGUAUACCCCAUUCAGCUGUACCAUCUUGGGCAAAGACCAUUCAAGACACAUUACAGGCUAUGCUCCGGAAGAUGGAGACAUUGUAGGAGAACCAGCGAGAGGCUCUCCUAUUCAGGCGACUACAGGGCAGACACACUGAAGAGGUGCCAGUGAUGGACCUACAGGUGGUCCAAACACAGGCUGAACUCCAAGACCUUGAGGAGCGCCUUAAGGUGCUGGAGUUCCGAAAGAGAGUGACGCUGUGAUGAAGUGGAAGACGGGACUGGGAGAGAAGGCUCAAACACGCCCCGGCAGCCCAUUCAAAACAAGCCAGGUGAAUGAAUCAUGAUUGCAGCUUCCAUAUCCAACCUUUCACAUGGCUAUGUGACAAAAAAAUAGAAUCCCAUAAUAUUUUUUUGAUGAUGUAUAUUAUUUUAGAUGUGAUUUUUUAUGACUUGUAUAGCCCCUUUCACACGUGCAAUUAUGUUGAUAGAACACUAACUUAUUUUGUGCUUCAUUGUCAGGGCCAACAGACAGGACCUGUAGCGGGGACUGGCAGAAGAUUUUAAUUCACUGUUUGGUACUUUGUUUGAAAUAAAAUGACAAUGUUACAUGGAAAUGCUGCCUUGUUUAUGAUUAGCUUGAGUUAGGCUACACAUCACACAAACAUAGUCCUCCUAAAGUUGGCUAC